UGUUUUGAAAGAGGUAUCAUGGUGGUCGCUCAACAGGUUCCCGGAAGUCACGGAGAAUUCUGGGAGAUUUGUGCUAGCGUUGUAAACAUUCUUGUGGAUUCGGCGAAAGACAGCCAUGUAUAGAAGCCGACAAGCACACCAAGACCAACAACUACGUUGAGAAAGAAAGCUGUAUACGGAAGCAGGCAACAUCACCAAAGCAACGUCGGAAGCGGACACCAACUGGUUUGCCCGACAGGACCAGGAUGAAAAAGCUGAGCGAUAUGACAAGGGGGAUUGAACAACUUGAGACCUGCCACAUCACACAGCAGGAAAGUUUUGCAUCUGGCCAGUCAGCGGAGCAGAAACGUAUCCAGGACGAUCACUUGGAGCCGGGCGCCUCUCUGUAAUCCAAGAGAAACAAAAAGUUAUGUCAUUCCAAGACGCCAUCACCCUUUAAUCUGUAAAAACCGAAGGGAGGUCCAGGGCAAUAAUACCAAGGUCCUCCAGACGGCAUGGGUGCAGUUUCCCGCCCCAUUUAAUUGGAAUUUUUUUUAUUAAAUCAAUAGUUAAAAAUAUAUAAUAAAAUACAAUAAUAUAAAUAUUAAAAAACCGAGCAUGCUUGUAAACAUUUAUACAAAUAUAAUUUUAAAAACACAAAAUUUCCAAUAUAAAUUUACAUAUAAUAUAUACAGUAGCCGGUGAACCAUAGGGAAAUGUCUAACUGCCAGGUUAGACACUUCACAAUUAAACACCCAAGCUGACACAUACAUCAUAUCAU